rnacentral:rRNA from 1 species
ACGACUCUCGGCAACGGAUAUCUCGGCUCUCGCAUCGAUGAAGAACGUAGCGAAAUGCGAUACUUGGUGUGAAUUGCAGAAUCCCGUGAACCAUCGAGUUUUUGAACGCAAGUUGCGCCCGAAGCCGUCAGGCCAAGGGCACGUCUGCCUGGGUGUCACGCA